UACGUAGGGUGCAAGCGUUAAUCGGAAUUACUGGGCGUAAAGCGUACGCAGGCGGCUAUGUAAGACAGGUGUGAAAUCCCCGGGCCUAACCUGGGAACUGCAUUUGUGACUGCAUAGCUAGAGUCCGUCAGAGGGGGGUGGAAUUCCUGGUGUAGCGGUGAAAUGCGCAGAUAUCAGGAAGAACACCUAUGGCGAAGGCAGCUCUCUGGGACGGUACUGACGCUGAGACGCGAAAGCGUGGGGAGCGAACAGG
rnacentral:rRNA from 1 species